rnacentral:lncRNA from 1 species
CAGGCGCCCGCCACCACGCCUGGCCAAUUUUUUUGUAUUUUUUUAGUAGAGACGGGGUUUCACCGUGUUAGCCAGGAUAGUCUUGAUCUUCUGACCUCGUGAGCCGCCUGUCUCAGCCUCCCAAAGGGCUGGGAUUACAGGCGUGAGCCACCGCGCCCGGCCGAUUUACCACUCUUGAUGUUCACCACCUGGCUGAGAAACCAAGAUCAAGAGCUUGAUGUGCUUGUUGAUACUGGAGUGUCAUUGAUUCUUGGCCCUGUCAACUGACCAGAUCAAGGAACUACAUGUGUAUAAGCUAAGGCACACCCACAUAAGGAUAGCACUAUAGCUACAAAUUCUCCAUUACCUGAAGAUAUAGGCUUUCAGCCGGGUGCAGUGGCUCACGCCUGUAAUCCCAGCCCUU